rfam:TPA: Bos taurus chromosome 18, whole genome shotgun sequence.
UCCCUGCUAGCUCAGCAGUAAAGAAUUUGCCUGUGAUGCAGGAGACCCAGGUUUGAUCCCUGGGUGGGGAA